rnacentral:piRNA from 1 species
UGUUUUAGGAUGGACACAAAUACUC